rnacentral:lncRNA from 1 species
GGCUCAGAUAUAGUUAUUGCAUUAGUCAGGGUUCUCCAAAGAAACAGAACAAAUAGGGUGUGUAUAUAUAUAGUGAGAGAUUUAUUUUAAGGAUUUGGCUCACUUGAUUAUACAGGCUGACAAGUCCAAAGUCUGCUGGGUAGGCUGGCAGGCUGGAGACCCAGGAGAGAGCUAAUGUUCCAGUUCAAGUCCAAAGUAUUUUUAAAGCUGCACAGGUGCUUCCACUGUGCAGCCAAUGUGGAGAGCCACUGAUCUGUCAUUUCACGUACUCAUCACUGUCUCCAACCUCUUCAGAACCAGAAUCCACCUAACCAUUAACAAAUUGCCCAGGAUAGAGAUAGACAAGGCAUCUGUCCAAACCAGGUACUGCUUAUUUUGUGGAAAUUAGCAGAGUGGUUUCUAUGGGUAUAGCCAAGAGGUACAUUUGGAGUUUUGCUAGAAGGUAGGUAAAGCAAUC